rnacentral:rRNA from 1 species
AUUGAACGCUGGCGGCAGGCCUAACACAUGCAAGUCGAGCGAGCGGCGGACGGGUGAGUAAUGUAUGGGGACUGCCCGAUAGAGGGGGAUAACUACUGGAACCGGUGGCUAAUACCGCAUACUAUCGGAUAACCCAUAGUGGAUUAGCUAGUAGGUGGGGUAAAGGCUCACCUAGGCGACGAUCUCUAGCUGGGCUGAGAGGAUGAUCAGCCACCCUGGGACUGAGACACGGCCAAGACUCCUACGGAGGCAGCAGAGGGGAAUAUGGGACAAUGGGCGCAAUCCUGAUGCAGACAUGCCGCGUGUAUUAAGAGGGCCUUAGGUUUGUAAAGUACUUUCAGCGGGGAGGCGUUACCCGCAGAAGAAGCACCGGCUAACUCCGUGCCAGCAGCCGCGGUAAUAC